rnacentral:rRNA from 1 species
CAGCCGCCGCGGUAAUACGGAGGGGGCUAGCGUUGUUCGGAAUUACUGGGCGUAAAGCGCACGUAGGCGGCUUGGUAAGUUAGAGGUGAAAGCCUGGAGCUCAACUCCAGAAUUGCCUUUAAGACUGCCGAGCUAGCAGGUGAGAGAGGUAAGUGGAAUUCCGAGUGUAGAAGUGAAAUUCGUAGAUAUUCGGAAGAACACCAGUGGCGAAGGCGGCUUACUGGCUCAUACUGGACGCUGAGGUGCGAAAGCGUGGGGAGCAAACAGGAUUAGAUACCCCCGUAGUCCCUGUCUCUUAUAC